CUUAGCAAAGUGGUUGAGUCUCAGCUGAGCUCAGUUCCCACCAGGGUUCGAUCUAUAUUGGUACCACGUUAGGCUUCUUCCGAGCAAUCAGUCUCGAGGAUGCUUCUUUCCGCCGGACGGAUGUCUCGGUGCGCUUCUACUUCCCCUUGUGGAAUGUAGCAAUCUUCCCAGUGCUAUCUGGAGUCAAGUUCCCAGUUCUAUCUGGAGAAAUAUCUCCGAGGUCCUAUCCUCGUGGAUGUCGUCCUGUCUUCCACCAUCAUUGUGGUUAAGACCCAAAUGAGGUAAUCUAAAUUACCUCUCUUUUUGUAUAAUUUCUUUUUAGGUUGUUGCAAUUAUGAAAACUGUUAUUAGUGAAAUAUGAAUUAGAAGAUAAUUUCUUUUGAACAGGAUAAACGAUUUUGAGAAGUCUUUGUAUUGAGUACUCAAUUCAAAUCUUGUUCAGAACUUUCGGCGAACAGUUUGUGGGCUUAAAGUGAAAUCAAAACUCAAAUAUUUCCCCAUAAAAUUUCAAGAGACCUUUCACAAAACGAAGAGUAAACGAAUACCCACAAGAACGAGGAACAGAAAAAAGUAACCGAACCAAAUAAGUUAAG
rnacentral:lncRNA from 1 species